UUUAAAACUUGUGCAAGUCUACAUUUAGGCGCAUCAGCUUGCUGCUCGAAUUCCUAUGAAAAUGGAAAAUUCCGUCCAGAAAUUGCGCAGUAGAGAAAAAUUUGAACUGAUUAAAGAGCUAAAUUCUCAAUAAUCCGUUUUCCAAUCCGCGUAUACUUUGUAAGCUCUCAGUACAUGAUCGUAUGGGAAAUUGCGUCGUAAGCUGAAAUAACUAAUCAAUCCAAACGCGAUCGACCCUCAUUUCUGGUGGAGUUCUCAACUAGUAAAGUUCAUAAAAAUCAAAAGUGGUGAAUAUUACUCUAUCGAUAUUUUUAUCGAUAAGUCGAGCAGUUUUAAAAUUAAACUCGAAUUCUUUUUUUGAGUUCUAUUAGAUUUUUUCUAGUGAAAUGGAUCAAAGUCUACACUGUGCCUUUGUGUAAGACUUGAAUAAGGCCAAGCCCAACCAACGAGGGCGGUUAGUGUGGGCCGCGUCGGACUAGUGUUGGCCAGUUCCUGUCCGCAUCGGCCAUCGUGGGUCAUUUUGGAUCCGUUUCGCCCGGUUAAGAGUCGGUCUGAAGUUCGUCUGUGAAGACCGAGGACGCUGGGAGACCAAACCCACCGUUCGACCACGUGGGCAACCGUGAAAUUGGACUCAGGCCUCCAGGACGCCCUUCGAGCCACCGCCAAACUACGUUUGGGUUUUUUUCGAACUGCUCGAUCACAAGUCGAGUCCCACAAGCAAGGUGCUUGAGUGUCCAUUUCUGGUAAGUUGCCGAAUCGGAUUCCCGUCUAGUCAAGCCUGUGCGAUAAGAGCCUCGUCAACUGGCUCGGUACUCCACCGUUUCCGGGGACAUAUCUACCCCGACGAUUUCGCACACCCGGGACUGAUUCGACCUUCGGAAUCCGCCUCGCACCUCAGAAUCGGUACUCGACGUGGGAUUAGCUGUGGUGAGUAGACUGCCAGCUCGUAGCUACGUUGUACUUCGAGGGACCUAGGCCCGCCGAACAAGGUCAGACCUUUUUUUAUUGUGCACGAAGAAUAUUUUCCCUAAGGGAAGCUUACCUAAAAUAGAAUAUCCAAUUAGAUCCUUUGGUGACGUCACAAAUAGAAAUGCGCAAUACUCAAUAAAGUCAAAUAGCUUUGAUCAUUAGUUGAACCUUGUAAAACUCAAAACAAGACUGCUUUUCUAGUUUUCAAUAAAAUUUCGUAAAUUGAUUAUCAUUUCCUACUUCUAGUUUAGUUGAACUGUUUCUUUUUUCCGCGCGCUAAGUUUUGUGACCCAUAUUGAGUUGAUUUUUAGUUUAGCCGAGACACACUCCUUGAUCGAUCGUGUGAUUGAGGCGUAUUGAGUUAGUGUGGUUUGAAAUUGGAUUGAUUUAGCUUCGGUUGGUUCGUUCAAAUUGUAGUUUUAGCAUUCUGGAAAUACUAUAACCUGCCCUGAGGCAAGUAAUCUCAUGCCGGGAUUGGAUCUCAGCCUACGGCCCUUCUAAUUUAGAAGGUGGCGCUUAAGCCGCAGACUGUUGUAACAGACUAAAACGUUACACAGGGCAAAGUGCUUGCAGGUGCAGUCGAGCAAGGUCCAUGUCUUGUGUCCGUAGAGGAUAACCGGUCUCAUUAGCGUUUUGUACAUGGUUCAUUUGGUGUGAGGGUGAAUCUUUUUCGACCACAGUUUCUUCUGGAGCCCGUAGUAGGCCCGACUUCCAUCUGGAUUUACGCAUGAUGCGUCUAAAACAAUAAUUGAACAAUGCCUAUCCCUAGUGACUCUGCGCGAUUACAAUACUCACCAAGACCGGCGCCAAAAGUUACAGUCCCAAACCAAAUUAGAACAAGCUG